UCGGUCCCCCAAUAUUUUAGAGAUUUCCCAGAUAACUUGGUUGGCCUUCGUGUUUUCCAUUACGAUGAGAUCACCUAGAGUAAACACAUGCAUGGGAUUUCUGACGGGAGCUGGAUGGAGCCCUAGGAAAGCACUUAGGGACCGAAGUACGGGUGCUGGGGGAAGUCAUUACUGACACGAUGUUCUCUGCUUCUGGGUAUUUUUCUUGGAAAUCAAAGAAAUAAGUAUUCAUUGCUACUACAGAAUAUGGAGACGAGUGCGCACCCCCCCAAGGGAGUGGCCUAAGGCAGACAGAAUGCGCAUGCUGUACCUAGGAAAAGGUAAACAAGGAACAAUAACUCUGGCCCCCAGGAAGGGAAGAGGAGAAGGAGGGCUCACAGUGGGCAUUGCCUUUUUGGCCCGUGAAUGUUGGAGGACACUGCAGUCGUAUUCAGAUGACAACAGUUACAGGUGUGGCCUCUUGGAAUCUGGUUCUGAACCAGCUGUGUCAACGGAGAAAGUUCAGUGGAGUGGCAUUCUCAUCGUGCACAGCAGAACUCCUGGGUCAUAGAACUUGAGGGCAGAAUAAAAUAGAUGCUUUGGACCUUGUGUAUGCAACCAUUGUUGUGUAACAGGCAACCUGUGUGCAGCCCAGGUAUGAGCUCUGUGAACCUGUGUCCUGUCCCGUGUCUGCUGCUCAGUGGCAAGGGAAGUUUGAGUGAUGCGCACUUGCA